UAGAGUUUGAUCCUGGCUCAGGACGAACGCUGGCGGCGUGCCUAAUACAUGCAAGUCGUGCGGACUUAUCUUCGGAUAAGUUAGCGGCGGACGGGUGAGUAACACGUGGGCAACCUGCCUGUAAGACUGGGAUAACUCCGGGAAACCGGUGCUAAUACCAGAUACAAUCAGAGACCGCCUGGUCUUUGAUGGAAAGGUCUUGUACCGCUUACAGAUGGGCCCGCGGCGCAUUAGCUAGUUGGUGGGGUAACGGCCUACCAAGGCGACGAUGCGUAGCCGACCUGAGAGGGUGAUCGGCCACACUGGGACUGAGACACGGCCCAGACUCCUACGGGAGGCAGCAGUAGGGAAUCUUCCGCAAUGGACGAAAGUCUGACGGAGCAACGCCGCGUGAGUGAUGAAGGCUUUCGGGUCGUAAAACUCUGUUGUCAGGGAAGAACAUCCGGGAUGACCUCCCGGUCUGACGGUACCUGAUCAGAAAGCCCCGGCUAACUACGUGCCAGCAGCCGCGGUAAUA
rnacentral:rRNA from 1 species